rnacentral:rRNA from 1 species
CCUACGGGAGGCAGCAGUGGGGAAUUUUGGACAAUGGGCGCAAGCCUGAUCCAGCAAUGCCGCGUGAGUGAAGAAGGCCUUCGGGUUGUAAAGCUCUUUUGUCAGGGAAGAAAAGGUAGCCUCUAAUACAGGCUGCUCAUGACGGUACCUGAAGAAUAAGCACCGGCUAACUACGUGCCAGCAGCCGCGGUAAUACGUAGGGUGCAAGCGUUAAUCGGAAUUACUGGGCGUAAAGCGUGCGCAGGCGGUUAUAUAAGUCAGCUGUGAAAUCCCCGGGCUCAACCUGGGAACUGCAGUUGAGACUGUAUGGCUAGAGUGUGUCAGAGGGGGGUAGAAUUCCACGUGUAGCAGUGAAAUGCGUAGAUAUGUGGAGGAAUACCGAUGGCGAAGGCAGCCCCCUGGGGAUAACACUGACGCUCAUGCACGAAGACGUGGGGAGGACGAACAGGAGUAGUAUACCUACGGUACGUACCGACCGACCCGUAACCGACUGUCUACUAGUUGUUGGUUCGUUAUUAGUACUUAGUAACGUAC